rnacentral:tRNA from 1 species
GCAUUGGUGGUUCAGUGGUAGAAUUCUCGCCUGCCACGCGGGGGAGGCCGGGUUCGAUUCCCGGCUAAUGCA